UAUUGAAACUGUUUUCCCCAAUACAAUGCAUGCCUUUUUUUCCAGUUUGCUCUGAUUGGAACAUCUACUGUGGCCAUCUGGGCCCACUAGCCCCUUACAUCUCCUUAAGGUGUGUCUCCAGGUUCCUAUCUUGCCUUCCCGACUCUUUCUAUUUAGAUAUAGUCUUUUUCCUUUUUUAAUCUCUUUGAAAAUAAGUUUUGCUUCAUUUUGUCUUACAUUCUGUUAUUUGUACCUUUUUUGACAGUCUCUUUCCAACCUGUAGCAUCCUUAACUGUAGAGAUUGUAUCGUAUUUACAUUUCACAUCUGAAGAGCGUACUUCAGAGCCCCUGCGAAAUGCUAGGUGAUUACUAAAUGCUGGCCACAUUGAAUAUUGACCUUGGAAACACAAUUGGUGCUAGCAUUAUUGUCUCUUUUUUUGGUCUCUCCUUCUAUGCUGCACUUUGAUGAACUUCUUUGAAGAACUCUGAGGCUCACCCUGAAUUGUUCCUGCGUGAGAUCCAAGAACCUUUUCUUGGGGUCUGGAUCUUGAAAAGAACCUUUUAUAGCAACAUCUUCUGGGGACACCUGAAGGGACCUUAAGGUGAGACCCAAUACCGAGGAAAUUUGGUCUGUACAGCACUCAUUGGCCCCUCUGAUCCAUGGAUGAUUCUGGGUUUAGUUCUUUGUGAGAGUGCCAGAAACUCCCAGAGACUGACUCUAUGCAUAUAGACAGGCCACUGGAGAGAAUGUCUACUGGGUUGCUGAAGACAAUUGCUACUGAGGAUGGAUCAAAGCUCAGGAAGGAACAAUUCAGUACCAAAAGAGGGAAUGGAGCCCUUCUGGAAAACACACAUAAGGUACCUCAAGACUUGUAAAUGCUAGAUAAAAGUAGCAUGCUGUUGGAGAGUUUUAAAGUCCUAAUUUUUUAGUUAUUUGUUUUUAAAAAUUACAUAAGUAGCACAUUUGUUAUAGAUGUAUUUAGGGUGGUUUUAAUUCAUAUUUCCCCAGGUAAAUAACUGUGUACAAUUGUCUUUUGAUAAUGGCCAGCAGGCCUUUACAUUCUUCAGGUUUCCUCUUCCAGAUAUAUGUACUAUCUCUUGGUCUACCUAUGGCACUCUAGAUAUCAGGAUACCAUGAAAAAAAAUCUCGGAUAUUGGAAAGGGCACAUUUUUUUUGACAUCAUCAGGGUGCUCAAUGCAAACCAUGGUUGAACACUUGAAGAUGUCAAGUAGCUGCUUGAAGCUCCUGAUGAAGAGUUACACAGCACCAUGUUCUGCCAGUAGUCAUAGGCAUUUGGAUUUUCUCUCUUCAGAUUUAGCUUCUUCUCCCUUUGUCAAACUGCCUGGACAGAGCUGCAAUUGCUUCCUUGUCGUAGAGUCUGUCCACUGGCCUCAACUUUCUACUUGUUGUCUCACCAGAGAUAAUAUGAGUUACAGUCUCUCCAAAGAUGCUAGAUGUCUAGAAUCAUUCAGAAUGUUCCCUGGAACAUAAUACAAAUAGAGCACCAGCUGAUUCCCCCCAGGACUCAGAUGAUACCUAUUCAUAUAUUUUCCAUUCAAUUUGCAGCAAAUCUCUGUUAGGACAGUCUUUCUCAAGUGAUCCAGAGUGAAGGAUUACAUUUUGUUUGUUUUUAUUUUCAGUGUAUUGUGGACUGGUACUUUGUGUAAAAUAUAAUGAAAUAUAAUAAAAUUCGUUCUU